CAACCUGCCGCUUACUCGGGGAUAGCCUUUCGAAAGAAAGAUUAAUACCCGAUGGUAUAAAGAGUUCGCAUGUUCUCUUUAUUAAAGAAUUUCGGUAAGCGAUGGGGAUGCGUUCCAUUAGAUUGUUGGCGGGGUAACGGCCCACCAAGUCUACGAUGGAUAGGGGUUCUGAGAGUAAGGUCCCCCACAUUGGAACUGAGACACGGUCCAAACUCCUACGGGAGGCAGCAGUGAGGAAUAUUGGUCAAUGGACGAGAGUCUGAACCAGCCAAGUAGCGUGAAGGAUGACUGCCCUAUGGGUUGUAAACUUCUUUUAUAAGGGAAUAAAGUGAGGGACGUGUCCCUUUUUGUAUGUACCUUAUGAAUAAGGAUCGGCUAACUCCGUGCCAGCAGCCGCGGUAAUACGGAGGAUCCGGGCGUUAUCCGGAUUUAUUGGGUUUAAAGGGAGCGUAGAUGGAUGUUUAAGUCAGUUGUGAAAGUUUGCGGCUCAACCGUAAAAUUGCAGUUGAUACUGGAUAUCUUGAGUGCAGUUGAGGCAGGCGGAAUUCGUGGUGUAGCGGUGAAAUGCUUAGAUAUCACGAAGAACUCCGAUUG
rnacentral:rRNA from 1 species